UACGGAGGAUGCAAGCGUUAUCCGGAAUUAUUGGGCGUAAAGUGUCCGCAGGUGGCACUUCAAGUCUGUCGUCAAAGACCGGGGCUUAACCCUGGAAAGGCGAUGGAAACUGAAAGGCUAGAGAGAGGUAGGGGUAGAGGGAAUUCCCAGUGUAGCGGUGAAAUGCGUAGAGAUGUGGAGGAACACCGAUGGCGAAGGCAGCCUCCUGGGCCAACACUGACGCUCAUGCACGAAAGCGUGGGGAGCAAACAGG
rnacentral:rRNA from 1 species